rnacentral:rRNA from 1 species
GGACGAACGCUGGCGGCGUGCUUAACACAUGCAAGUCGAGCGGUAAGGCCCUUUCGGGGGUACACGAGCGGCGAACGGGUGAGUAACACGUGGGUGACCUGCCCUCAGCUCUGGGAUAAGCCUGGGAAACCGGGUCUAAAUACUGGAUAUGACUCCAUGACGCAUGUUGUGGGGUGGAAAGCCUUGUGCGGCUGAGGAUGGGCCCGCGGCCUAUCAGCUUGUUGGNGGGGUNANGGCCUACCAAGGCGACGACGGGUAGCCGGCC